rnacentral:rRNA from 1 species
CCCUUAGAUGUCCUGGGCCGCACGCGCGCUACACUGAGUGUCUGAGAUACGAGUCUGCCUGGUCCGGCAAGGUCUAGGUAAUCGCUAAAAGACACAUCAUGCUUGGGAUAGAUUAUUGCAAAUAUUAAUCUUGAACGAGGAAUUCCCAGUAAGCGCAAGUCAACAGCUUGCGUUGAUUACGUCCCUGCCCUUUGUACACACCGCCCGUCGCUACUACUGAUUGGAUGUUUAAGCGAGGUUCUCGAACUGCUAGCGACUUAGCUUCGGUGAGGUCGCAGUGUGGGAAGUGAACCGAGCUUUGGUGUCUAGAGGAAGUAAAAGUCGUAACA